CCUACGUGUGGGCAGCAGUGGGGAAUAUUGGGCAAUGGGCGCAAGCCUGACCCAGCAACGCCGCGUGAAGGAAGAAGGUUUUCGGGUUGUAAACUUCUUUUCUCAGGGACGAAGUAAGUGACGGUACCUGAGGAAUAAGCGCUGGCUAACUGCGUGCCAGCAGCGGAGGUAAUACGUAGGUGGCAAGCGUUAUCCGGAUUUACUGGGUGGAAAGGGCGUGUAGGCGGGACUGCAAGUCAGAUGUGAAAAGCACGGGCUCAACCUGUGGCCUGCAUUUGAAACUGUAGUUCUUGAGUACUGGAGAGGCAGACGGAAUUCCUAGUGUAGCGGUGAAAUGCGUAGAUAUUAGGAGGAACACCAGUGGCGAAGGCGGUCUGCUGGACAGCAACUGACGCUGAGGCGCGAAAGCGUGGGGAGCAAACAGGAUUAGAUACCCUUGUAGUC
rnacentral:rRNA from 1 species